rnacentral:rRNA from 1 species
UGAACCAGCGGAGGGAUCAUUACCGAGUUUACAACUCCCAAACCCAAUGUGAACGUUACCAAACUGUUGCCUCGGCGGGAUCUCUGCCCCGGGUGCGUCGCAGCCCCGGACCAAGGCGCCCGCCGGAGGACCAACCAAAACUCUUAUUGUAUACCCCCUCGCGGGUUUUUUAUAAUCUGAGCCUUCUCGGCGCCCCUCGUGGGCGUUUCGAAAAUGAAUCAAAACUUUCAACAACGGAUCUCUUGGUUCUGGCAUCGAUGAAGAACGCAGCGAAAUGCGAUAAGUAAUGUGAAUUGCAGAAUUCAGUGAAUCAUCGAAUCUUUGAACGCACAUUGCGCCCGCCAGUAUUCUGGCGGGCAUGCCUGUCCGAGCGUCAUUUCAACCCUCGAACCCCUCCGGGGGGUCGGCGUUGGGGAUCGGCCCUCCCUCUGCGGGGGCCGUCUCCGAAAUCCAGUGGCGGUCUCGCCGCAGCCUCUCCUGCGCAGUAGUUUGCACACUCGCACCGGGAGCGCGGCGCGUCCACAGCCGUUAAACACCCAACUUUCUGAAAUGUUGACCUCGGAUCAGGUAGAGA